UUUUGGCAUUGAUUUAGUCCGCUCCUGGUUUGCUUCUUCUUGUCGACGUGUUUCCUGCAAAAUGCCAUGUUUUAAAAGGAUACAUGAUUGCCUGAUAUAUUUUUCUAUACACUCACUUUUAUAUAUUUGGUGUUUUGCAGGUCUUUCCUCUGUGGUGGAUCAACUGGCUUGUUCAUUUAUGGCUAUUGCUUGUAUUACUACUUUGCAAGAUCAGAUAUGUCCGGCUUCAUGCAAACCUCAUUUUUCUUUGGCUACAUGGCCUGCGUUUGUUAUGGUUUCUUCCUCAUGCUUGGAAGCAUUGGUUUCCGUGCUUCCCUGUUCUUUGUCCGCCAUAUUUACCACUCAAUCAAGUGCGAGUAGGAAGUCACAUAUGGUUUUCCUUGUGUUCAGUGAGUAGGAUCCCUUACUUUCUCUUAGCAGGCUUGAUUGAAGGAAACUCCGCUCUUUUGUAUUGAUGAAGGUAAUCUUCUGUCGUGUCGCAUUAUGUUACAGGAGAAGCAACUGUUGGCUGGGAAAAUGUCUUCUGGGAUUGCAGGAGCCUUUAUUCCACAACUUCGAAGGGAUGACCGCACAUCAAAUGGAGGACUUCUGUAAUAACCUUUUUUUAUAGGAGAGGAACAUAUAGGACCUUAGAAUGCUGUUAAAAGAAUUUGUGGUGCUUAAAUGUGAGCACAUGCCAUCGUUUUGAAUAUAUUCUAGAACUGUAAGAAGCCUUAGAAUUUGUGUUACUGGAAGCAGCACUUUGAACAUUCUUAUUUCCACAAUUUAUUACAGCAGCCAGAUAUAUUUCCCAUCAUUCAUUUAUUUCGGGGGCUGAACUAGAAAACUUGAGCAUGGCGAUGAAACCUGGCCGGUAAUGUUUAAAAAAUAUGCCAGUAAUUAUGUUUUUGCACUGCAUUAAAAUCUUCAGAUUGAACAAAAGCGAGAGGAUUAAAUUAUUUAUUUAUUAUUUCUUUUAUUUUUUUGGAACUGAACUGGAUAACCUUGGUGAGUUUUCUAUGGCGCUUGCAUUAACAGAAAAUCAUGGUCUAUUAGCAAGAUAUUUGCAAUAAGAUGAGAGGACAUGACAGCAAACUUUUGUUGAUGUCUCAGACAACAUUCUUGUCCAGGAGGGGAUGACGUUGGUAGCCUGUCCAUUUCAAUGUAAGCAGUAACAAAUCAGGUCAAGACCAGAUGCAAAUAUCAAUGCCUGCUAAAUCGCUGGAUAUGAAUUUGAUGGAUUCAUUUUGAAUUGAUCGAUUCUGUUGUUGCAUUUAAACCUAACAGUCUUACUAAUCUAGUAUUCUAGAAUUCAUUGGCUCUUCAAUAACAAUGUCGGCCAAAGACUAACUGUAGACUCCACUUGGGAUCCGGUUAAAGAUCCAGGUUGCAAGUCUAUCGAGUGGACAAAUUAACCCUAAUCUAAUAAAAAAAACUUUUAAUUUAUAUUUUUUUAAAAUUUCAAAUAAUAUCAAUUAGAUAAAAUUAAAAAAAAACCCUAAAAUGGUGUCUUCUUGGAUAAAAAAAAUCCUUAAAGUCGACCCAACUAGAUUUUAUCUGAUCAAAUUUUAAUUUGACUAACCUUAUCAUCUAUAUUUAACCGGGUCAAUUUUUAAAAUAAUUUUUUUAAAAAAUAAUUCAAAAUAGAUUUUGACUUGAUAAAUCGUUAAGUCAACUUGUUCUACUAAGAUCAAUUUAAUAACUAUGGUAGUUCAAGUUGUGGACAUGAUGAUUUAGUGUGUAUUUGAUAAUGUAGUAUAAUGUAUUUUUUAAAUGAAAAUAUAUUAAAAUAAUAUUUUUAUCAUAUUUUUUUUACAUUAGCAUGUUAAGACAAUAAAAAAUAUAAAUAAAAAUCAUCAAAUUAAUAUAUAUAUUUUUGAGUGAAUGUCCAUUACAUGGUUGAAUUUGAAUUUUAUAAUUUUAUUUUUUUAAAAUCUAAUGAUAUAAUUUGAAAUGACUUUACAUUAUAAUAUGAAACAUUGGUUACAUUACAAAAAGGAAGAAAAUAUUAUAAUUUAUAUGGAAAAAUUAGGGCAAGUCUUUACGGGUAUUUAAGAGUAGUAAUGGUUUUUUUUUUAAAUGUUUUUUAUUUGAAAAAUAUCAAAAUAAUAUAUAUACAUAUAUAUAUAUAUAUUAAUUUUUAAAAUUUAUUUUCAAUAUCAGCAUAUCAAAAAAAAAAUUAAAUCAUUAAAAAAAAUUAACUUAAAAAUAUAUAUUUUUUAAAAUUUUAACAAAAAAACAUGUUAAAACUCACUCACAUAACAUCACCCUCGUCACCCUCUUCAUCACAUAACAUAACAGCUAAUUAGGUCAUUAGCGUUCUUAACACACAAAGUGAUUUUCUUUUCCUUUCCAGGAAUUUGACCUGACCCCCACGCUUCUUCAACUGCAUGGUGAAAUAACUAUUACAACCACGUAAUGGGAAAGAGAGUUGGAUCAAAGUGAAAGCAAUUUACCACAAAAAAAGACAGCAGAAACCUCAGAAUUAACCAGAGAUUAGAUGAUGGCAUGGCAAUUUUGAUAUCCAGGGUUUGAUGAGUGUGAAGCUAAUAAGCUAUGAUCCUUGGCAUUUAAGCAUUCCCCCACCUUCAUAAUUUGGAGGGUUCCUUGAUUCCUACUCUUCAAUUAGUUCAUGCAUGUAUUUGGGAUCUAUUUCAAAUGAAGUCAAGCUUCUUCUUCUUAAUAAUAAUAAUAAUUAACGUUAAUUCAAGUGCCACCAGCUUAAUAUAUAGUAUUAAAUCUUAUUCUGCGAGUUAGUCCAACAAAUCUAUAAUUUGAAACAUGACUUGAACUUGAUUUUAAUUUGAGCUGGUUUUGAUGUUGACUUAGCCUACUGAAUUGACUCAGCAACUUUGCGAUUCAGAGCUUGACUCGAGCUAGUUUACCUAAUUUAGUUGGUUAAUCUGCUAGAUUCAUGAUUUAAAGCCUAGCUCAAAUCGAGUUUUAGUUUAAACUAGUUUUGAUACUGAUCUGAUUUAAUAAGUUGAUGUAGCAAACUCGUGAUUUAAAAUUUAAAUUGAGUUGGUUUUUAAUUUAGAUUAAUUUUAAUAUUUACCUGGUUAAACUUGGAUUUAACAUCUUACUUACCUAGCAAUCAUUUCAAAACUAAAAAAUUGAAAAAAAAUAAAAUUGAGUGUUUUAAUAUAAUUAUUUUAUAUCGGAACCAGGAAUGAAAUUAUAAAUUUGUAAAUGGUGUUGAAAAAAAUAAAUACAAAAAUACCAAGAUUAAUUUCCAAAUAAGUUAAGAGAUGAACAUUAAAGUAAAAAUAUGAUAUUUUUGGGAUGCCCAAUACUUAAUUAUUUAGAAAAAAAAUCAGACUUAAAAAUUCAAGGUUGAGAAUUUUCAAGAAUAGAAAAAUCAUUAAAACCAAAAUUUAAAUUAAAAAAAAUGACCUUAAUGAGAAGUCAAUUACUCGCCUUGUUAUUGUUAAUUAAAGAAGGCCUCUUUUUGACACGAAGGUUAACCGUUUUAGCGUCUUGAAGUCUUCUUCGAGCCACAGCCUGAAAAGUAUCCAUCUUUAUAACUCUCUCUCUCUCUCUAUCUAUCUCUCAAUGCUCUGUUUAUGAGUUACAGAGAGCGAAAAUGGAGAUGAAACUAGUGUCUUGUUUGGUAGUCUCUAUUUUGAUCCUAUGCAAUGUGACCCGUGUUAGAUCAGAUGCAUCUAAUAAUCGUUACAAAGUAGGUGAUGAUGUCCCUCUUUAUGUUAACAAAGUUGGACCUUUUCACAAUCCCAGGUAAUCCAAUUCUCUGUCUUUUGAUUUUGAUUAGCUCAAGGAUGUCGGUUUUGUGGGUUGUCUUCAAGUUUGUGACUUUUUGAUGAUUUGGGAUGGUGGGGACUGUGGGAUUUGGAUAGAAAUGAAAUUUUGGAUUGGUUUCUUUAAUUGUUGUGGAUCUGAGCUUAUGGUAAAGUGGAUCUGGGUUUGUUUUUCUAAAGAAGAAGAUCAAAGAUUGGAACUUGGACUUGAACAUGAAAAUGUUGUUGAUGUCGGUUAGGUACUAAUUAAGUUGGAAAUCUAACAAUGCUUAAUUGUUGUACAAGGAGCUGGUUAAUUUUGUGUUGGGGAGAUAGUUUAGUGGGAUUCGGGAAUGCAAGUUUUUGGAUAGAGAAAUCUGCAAGCUAGGAAAGGUUGUUUGUAAAAGAACAGAAUAAUGUCUAGAGAUGUAGGAGGUGAUUUGUAUUUCUGUUUUUUUCUUGUGAGGUGGAAAAUUUUAUUUAGGGGCUUAUUUCUUUGUUAAUGCUGAAAAUUAGAUCUCAGUUUUAGAUCCUACAAGCAAUCGAAAGAACUCUUUUCCUUACCCAAAAUUAUGCUGGAAAAUUUAACUAUAUUUUCUGAGUCCACUCUAGAUUACAUGUGUAUUUGCUUUGAUUUAGAAGGCAUGGCUGGUGGUGAGUUGGGUGGUUUGAAUUAGAUAGGAAGCUUAUAAGUUAUAAGUACUCAUAUCAUCCCAAUUUUUUGGUUUUUUAUACUGAGAUUUUAACCGUUGAACUAUGAACUUUUUUAAGUAUUUUUUAAUCAUAAUUGUCUGAUAUUGUUUCUUUCUUGUUCUUUCUGUCAGUGAAACAUACCGGUAUUUCGAUCUUCCUUUCUGUUCAUCAGGUUUGCGUCAAUUUAUAUUAUUCCUACUUUAAUUCUAUAUUUUACUGUGGAAGUUUGCUGAUGUUAUUUAUUACAGGUCCUACAAAGGACAAGAAGGAAGCCCUUGGUGAACUGUUGAACGGGGAUCGUUUAGUGACUGCCCCAUACAAACUUGACUUUUUAAAUGACAAAGACUCUGAAAUUGCUUGCAAAAACAAGCUGACAAAGGAGCAAGUUGCUCAGUUCCGAGAAGCGGUUUCCAAGGACUACUACUUCCAAAUGUACUACGAUGACUUGCCCAUUUGGGGUUUCAUAGGGAAAGUUGAAAAGGAAGGCAAGAAUGACCCUAGCGAAUACAAAUAUUACCUCUUUAAGCAUCUUCACUUCACCAUCUUUUACAACAAGGAUCGUGUCAUUGAGAUAGGCUGCACUAUCCGAUCAGAAAAAUGUUGUGGAGCUGACUGAAAAUAAGGAAGUUAAUGUGGAGUUCAUGUAUUCAGUUAAAUGGAAGGAAACAGAAAUUCCAUAUGAGAAAAGGAUGGAGAAAUAUUCACAAUCUUCUUCACUGCCUCAUCACUUGGAAAUUCAUUGGUUCUCAAUUAUUAACUCAUGUGUGACUGUUCUCCUCUUGACUGGUUUUCUUGCAACAAUUCUCAUGCGAGUCCUGAAGAAUGAUUUUGUCAAGUAAGAACAUGUUAAUGAUUUAUGUUGUUAGAACAUGUCUACUAACAUUUUUUAAGCUUUCUGGUUUAUUUAUUUGGUGAUGCUCCCAUUUACAAUAGGUAUGCUCACGAUGAGGAGUCAGCUGAAGACCAAGAAGAGACCGGGUGGAAGUACAUCCAUGGUGAUGUAUUUAGAUAUCCAAAGUAUAAGUCUGUACUUGCGGCGGCAGUUGGCUCUGGCACCCAGCUGUUUACUCUGUAAGUUUAACUUCAAAGCUGUGCGUGUGGGGUUUCUGUCUCAAACCUUUUUUUUUAAUUAUUGUAUGUCGCUGAGCAACCUGCUAACUUUGUAUAUAUACGUACUUUGCCAGCACAACUUUCAUUUUCUUACUCGCUCUAGUUGGUGUCUUUUAUCCUUAUAAUCGUGGAGCUCUUUUCACCGCCCUGGUUGUCAUAUAUGCCCUCACAGCUGGAAUUGCAGGCUACACUGCAGCCUCUUUCUUUUGCCAACUGGAAGGAACAAACUGGGUAAGUGAUCAUGAAUUCCUUUCUCAUUGCCUUCUGCACACAUCAUUGUCAUUGCUGGGAAUGCCCUUGAAACUUGUUAUUACUGUGUCUCCCAGGGUAUUCAGAUUCAAAUUCAGUAACAUGCAUAUUGGAAUUCUCAAUGUUUAUUUGGAAUGUGUUUGGUUUUGAGAGAAAUGCUUCAUAGAAAUUAGCUUAAGCAUGGAAAAUGGUUUCUCAGAAUGUGGUUGAUUUUUUUAUAAAUGCUUAGUGGAAAUUGGCUUAAGCAUGGACAAGGGGGUCAAAACCACCUACUCUGUGAAAUUUUUUUAUCACUUGAUAACUGAAUUGUUUUUCUCACUUAAUAACUGAACCAUAUGGGAUGUGAAAGGUAAGCUUUUUGAAAGAAGAAAGUGCAUGGAAACAGUGUACUUGAAAAUUGAUGGUGUACUGCUGCCUGAAGGCUUGCAGUACAUUUGAAAAGGCAAUCUUAAGGAGACAAUAAGUUAGAUUUCAACAUUCAAGAUUACAGUUGAAUAUAAGUUUACAUGAAAUGAAACUAUGUAGACUUUGAUACGAGUGCAAUUGACAAUUUUAUGCUUGUUGCGGCUUAGUGAAAAUUAGCAUGGCCAGCAUUGAUUAGAACUAUGAUAUUGAUGUUCAUUGGUCAUUAUUAUAAUGAUGUAAGCAUUUUGCUGUGGCAUUGUUGUAAUUUUUUGUGAUCCUAUAUCCUCUUUUAUCGCAAAACUUCUUACUCUAGAAACUACCAUUCAACUUUUGAGACAUGCUAGGCCAAACAGUUCUGAAAUUUUGGUGUGGCAGGUCAGGAACUUGUUGUUAACUGGAGGUCUGUUUUGCGGACCUCUGCUCCUCACAUUCAGCUUUCUUAAUACUGUUGCAAUCACAUAUAGUGCCACUGCAGCAUUGCCUUUCGGAACCAUAGUGGUGAUAUUUCUUAUUUGGGCUUUGGUAACAACACCAUUGCUGGUACUUGGUGGGAUUGCUGGGAAGAAUAGCAAGGCUGAGUUUCAGGCUCCAUGCCGCACCACUAAAUAUCCCAGAGAGAUUCCUUUGUUGCCUUGGUACCGGAAAACACUUCCUCAGAUGGCCAUGGCUGGGUUCUUACCUUUCAGUGCAAUCUAUAUCGAACUUUACUACAUAUUUGCCAGUGUUUGGGGUCACAGGAUCUACACCAUAUACAGCAUCUUGUUCAUUGUCUUCAUCAUUCUCUUGAUUGUCACUGCUUUUAUAACAGUGGCAUUGACAUAUUUCCAACUUGCUGCUGAAGACCAUGAGUGGUGGUGGAGGUAUGUUUUACCGAUCAAUGUAAUGUUCACUUGUAAAAUAUCAAUGUCUCUAAGGUUAUUGGUUUAAUUUUACAUCAAUGUCUGCAAAAUUAUUCAUCUUUGUUUUUCUUUUCGAACUUGUAGUGACAUUUUAGCAGAUUGUGUUACUUAUAUAUGCUUUCUCACUGUUGGAUGUUAUCUAAAUUGCUCGAACUAUCCAAGUCAUAUUGUAAAUCUGGCAUCAUUUGUGUCGUGUUACAAACUUUCCAGACAUAACGGUCCCCUAGCAUGCUUUUCAUCACCCAUUGCAUGAAUAUGCCUCACGUUUUCUGCGAAUUGUCUUGUUUUAGAAGGAUAUCUGAUUGCCCGAUCCGUCUUUCUACACACUCACUAUCAUGUAUUUGGUUUUUGUCAGGUCUUUCCUCUGUGGUGGAUCAACUGGAUUGUUCAUUUAUGGCUAUUGCUUGUAUUACUACUUUGCAAGAUCGGAUAUGUCCGGCUUCAUGCAAACCUCAUUUUUCUUUGGCUACAUGGCCUGCGUUUGUUAUGGUUUCUUCCUCAUGCUUGGCUCCAUCGGUUUCCGUGCUUCCUUAUUUUUUGUCCGCCACAUUUACCGUUCAAUCAAGUGCGAAUAGCAAGUCAUACGGUCUUCAUCAUGUU
rnacentral:lncRNA from 1 species